rnacentral:rRNA from 1 species
CUACGUGCCAGCAGCCGCGGUAAUACGUAUGUCGCAAGCGUUAUCCGGAAUUAUUGGGCAUAAAGGGCAUCUAGGCGGCCAGAUAAGUCUGGGGUGAAAACUUGCGGCUCAACCGCAAGCCUGCCCUGGAAACUAUGUGGCUAGAGUACUGGAGAGGUGGACGGAACUGCACGAGUAGAGGUGAAAUUCGUAGAUAUGUGCAGGAAUGCCGAUGAUGAAGAUAGUUCACUGGACGGUAACUGACGCUGAAGUGCGAAAGCUAGGGGAGCAAACAGGAUUAGAUACCCUGGUAGUCCUAGCUGUAAACGAUGAUUACUGGGUGUGGGCAUGAAGAGUGUCCGUGCCGAAGCUAAUGCGAUAAGUAAUCCGCCUGGGGAGUACGGCCGCAAGGCUGAAACUCAAAGGAAUUGACGGGGACCCGCACAAGCGGUGGAGCAUGUGGUUUAAUUCGACGCAACGCGAAGAACCUUACCAGGUCUUGACAU